rnacentral:rRNA from 1 species
AUGAACGCUAGCGACAGGCUUAACACAUGCAAGUCGAGGGGCAGCACAGGUAGCAAUACCGGGUGGCGACCGGCGCACGGGUGAGUAACGCGUAUGCAACUUACCUAUCAGAGGGGGAUAACCCGGCGAAAGUCGGACUAAUACCGCAUGAAGCAGGGGCCCCGCAUGGGGAUAUUUGCUAAAGAUUCAUCGCUGAUAGAUAGGCAUGCGUUCCAUUAGGCAGUUGGCGGGGUAACGGCCCACCAAACCGACGAUGGAUAGGGGUUCUGAGAGGAAGGUCCCCCACAUUGGUACUGAGACACGGACCAAACUCCUACGGGAGGCAGCAGUGAGGAAUAUUGGUCAAUGGCCGAGAGGCUGAACCAGCCAAGUCGCGUGAGGGAUGAAGGUUCUAUGGAUCGUAAACCUCUUUUAUAAGGGAAUAAAGUGCGGGACGUGUCCCGUUUUGUAUGUACCUUAUGAAUAAGGAUCGGCUAACUCCGUGCCAGCAGCCGCGGUAAUACGGAGGAUCCGAGCGUUAUCCGGAUUUAUUGGGUUUAAAGGGUGCGUAGGCGGCCUUUUAAGUCAGCGGUGAAAGUCUGUGGCUCAACCAUAGAAUUGCCGUUGAAACUGGGGGGCUUGAGUAUGUUUGAGGCAGGCGGAAUGCGUGGUGUAGCGGUGAAAUGCAUAGAUAUCACGCAGAACCCCGAUUGCGAAGGCAGCCUGCCAAGCCAUGACUGACGCUGAUGCACGAAAGCGUGGGGAUCAAACAGGAUUAGAUACCCUGGUAGUCCACGCAGUAAACGAUGAUCACUAGCUGUUUGCGAUACACUGUAAGCGGCACAGCGAAAGCGUUAAGUGAUCCACCUGGGGAGUACGCCGGCAACGGUGAAACUCAAAGGAAUUGACGGGGGCCCGCACAAGCGGAGGAACAUGUGGUUUAAUUCGAUGAUACGCGAGGAACCUUACCCGGGUUUGAACGCAUUCGGACCGAGGUGGAAACACCUUUUCUAGCAAUAGCCGUUUGCGAGGUGCUGCAUGGUUGUCGUCAGCUCGUGCCGUGAGGUGUCGGCUUAAGUGCCAUAACGAGCGCAACCCUUGCCACUAGUUACUAACAGGUGAUGCUGAGGACUCUGGUGGGACUGCCAGCGUAAGCUGCGAGGAAGGCGGGGAUGACGUCAAAUCAGCACGGCCCUUACAUCCGGGGCGACACACGUGUUACAAUGGCGUGGACAAAGGGAGGCCACCUGGCGACAGGGAGCGAAUCCCCAAACCACGUCUCAGUUCGGAUCGGAGUCUGCAACCCGACUCCGUGAAGCUGGAUUCGCUAGUAAUCGCGCAUCAGCCAUGGCGCGGUGAAUACGUUCCCGGGCCUUGUACACACCGCCCGUCAAGCCAUGGGAGCCGGGGGUACCUGAAGUCCGUAACCGCGAGGAUCGGCCUAGGGUAAAACUGGUGACUGGGGCU